UACAGGGGGUGCAAACGUUGCUCGGAAUUAUUGGGCGUAAACGGCGCGUAGGCGGCUACCUAAGUCAGAUGUGAAAGCCCCUGGCUUAACUGGGGAAGUGCACCCGAAACUGAGUAGCUAGAGUGCGAAAGAGGGUCGCGGAAUUCCCGGUGUAGAGGUGAAAUUCGUAGAUAUCGGGAGGAACACCGGUGGCGAAGGCGGCGACCUGGGUCGACACUGACGCUGAGGCGCGAAAGCGUGGGGAGCAAACAGG
rnacentral:rRNA from 1 species